ACACGUACUGUGCGAACGUUAUUCGGAAUCACUGGGCUUAAAGGGUACGUAGGCGGCCUAUCAAGUCAGGUGGGAAAUCCCACGGCUCAACCGUGGAACUGCGCUUGAAACUGAUAGGCUUGAGAGAGACAGGGGUGGGUGGAACUUCUCGUGGAGCGGUGAAAUGUGUUGAUAUGAGAAGGAACACCGGUGGCGAAGGCGACACACUGGGUCUUUUCUGACGCUGAGGUACGAAAGCUAGGGGAGCGAACGGGAUUAGAUACCCUAGUAGUCC
rnacentral:rRNA from 1 species